UCAAACUGGCCUUGUGGGGUGACAUCA
rnacentral:piRNA from 1 species